rnacentral:misc_RNA from 1 species
GGAAGGAUCAUUAUUGAAUGAACUUGGUGUGGUUGUUGCUGGCCCUCUCGGGGGCAUGUGCACACCCACCAUCCUCAUCUCUCCACCUGUGCACCUCUUGUAGACCUGGAUAGACUUUCCGAGGCAACUCGGUCGGGAAGAUUGCUGCGCUCUGUGAGCCAGCUUUCUUUGCAUGUCCAGGCCUAUGUUUUUCAUAUACCCCUAUAGAAUGUAACAUAAUGUAUCAUUGGGCCUUGUGCCUAUAAACCUUAUACAACUUUCAGCAACGGAUCUCUUGGCUCUCGCAUCGAUGAAGAACGCAGCGAAAUGCGAUAAGUAAUGUGAAUUGCAGAAUUCAGUGAAUCAUCGAAUCUUUGAACGCACCUUGCGCUCCUUGGUAUUCCUAGGAGCAUGCCUGUUUGAGUGUCAUUAAAUUCUCAACCUUAUUAGCUUUUGUUGAUAAUGGAUUGGAUGUGGGGGUUUAUUUUGCUGGCUUCUUCACAGAGAUCAGCUCCCUUAAAUGCAUUAGCUGGUGCCCCGCGUGGACCAUCUAUUGGUGUGAUAAUUAUCUACGCCGUGGAUGUCUGCAAUCAUAUGGGUUUUGCACUGCUUCUAACCGUCUGUUCAUUCGGACAAUACAUGACAAUUUGACCUCAAAUCAGGUAGGACUACCCGCUGAACUUAAGCAUAUCAAUAAGCGGAGGAAAAGAAACUAACAAGGAUUCCCCUAGUAACUGCGAGUGAAGCGGGAAAAGCUCAAAUUUAAAAUCUGGCGGUCUCCGGCCGUCCGAGUUGUAAUCUAGAGAAGUGUUAUCCGCGCUGGACCGUGUACAAGUCUCCUGGAAUGGAGCGUCAUAGAGGGUGAGAAUCCCGUCUUUGACACGGACUGCCAGGGCUUUGUGAUGCGCUCUCAAAGAGUCGAGUUGUUUGGGAAUGCAGCUCAAAAUGGGUGGUAAAUUCCAUCUAAAGCUAAAUAUUGGCGAGAGACCGAUAGCGAACAAGUACCGUGAGGGAAAGAUGAAAAGAACUUUGGAAAGAGAGUUAAACAGUACGUGAAAUUGCUGAAAGGGAAACGCUUGAAGUCAGUCGCGUUGGCCGGGGAUCAACCUUGCUUUUGCUGGGUGUACUUUCCGGUCGACGGGUCAGCAUCAAUUUUGACCGUUGGAUAAAGUUCAGGGGAAUGUGGCAUCUUCGGAUGUGUUAUAGCCCUUGGUCGCAUACAACGAUUGGGAUUGAGGAACUCAGCACGCCGCAAGGCCGGGUACUUGUACCACGUUUCGUGCUUAGGAUGCUGGCAUAAUGGCUUUAAUCGACCCGUCUUGAAACACGGACCAAGGAGUCUAACAUGCCUGCGAGUGUUUGGGUGGAAAACCCGGGCGCGUAAUGAAAGUGAAAGUUGAGAUCCCUGUCGCGGGGAGCAUCGACGCCCGGACCAGACCUUUUGUGACGGAUCCGCGGUAGAGCAUGUAUGUUGGGACCCGAAAGAUGGUGAACUAUGCCUGAAUAGGGUGAAGCCAGAGGAAACUCUGGUGGAGGCUCGUAGCGAUUCUGACGUGCAAAUCGAUCGUCAAAUUUGGGUAUAGGGGCGAAAGACUAAUCGAACCAUCUAGUAGCUGGUUCCUGC